UACGUAGGGUGCAAGCGUUAAUCGGAAUUACUGGGCGUAAAGCGUGCGCAGGCGGUUUUGUAAGUCUGUCGUGAAAGCCCCGGGCUCAACCUGGGAAUUGCGAUGGAGACUGCAAGGCUUGAAUCUGGCAGAGGGGGGGUAGAAUUCCACGUGUAGCAGUGAAAUGCGUAGAGAUGUGGAGGAACACCGAUGGCGAAGGACCAGCCCCUGGGUCAAGAUUGACGCUCAUGCACGAAAGCGUGGGGAGCAAACAGG
rnacentral:rRNA from 1 species